CCUACGGGAGGCAGCAGUAAGGAAUAUUGGACAAUGCUCGCAAGAGUGAUCCAGCCAUGCCGCGUGCAGGAAGAAUGCCCUAUGGGUAGUAAACUGCUUUUGAACUAGAGAAAACCCCAGUACGUGUACUGGGCUGAUAGUAUAGUUAGAAUAAGCAUCGGCUAACUUCGUGCCAGCAGCCGCGGUAAGACGAAGGAUGCAAGCGUUAUCCGGAUUCAUUGGGUUUAAAGGGAGCGUAGGUGGACUUAUAAGUCAGUGGUGAAAUCUCCGAGCUUAACUCGGAAAUUGCCAUUGAUACUGUAGGUCUUGAGUACAGUUGCUGUGGGCGGAAUAUGACAUGUAGUGGUGAAAUACAUAGAGAUGUCAUAGAACACCGAUUGCGAAGGCAGCUCACAAAGCUGUAACUGACACUGAGGCUCGAAAGUGCGGGGAUCAAACAGGAUUAGAUACCCUGGUAGUCCGCACCGUAAACGAUGAUUACUCGCUGCUAGGGGGCAACCUUUAGUGGCUUAGCGAAAGCGAUAAGUAAUCCACCUGGGGAGUACGCCGGCAACGGUGAAACUCAAAGGAAUUGACGGCUUGGAGACGNGCGAGGACGACACGAGGGGAGGUUAGG
rnacentral:rRNA from 1 species